AUGCGGCAGUGCCGGGCCACGGGGCUGGCGGGGCUGGCCGCGGUGCUGCUGGUGGCUGUGAGCAGAGCCCAGGUGCAACAGGAGCCGGCGGCAGAGACCAGCGAGGGCACCGGCAUCAACAUCACCUGCUCACACCCCAGUAUACAGUCCAGCGAGGUCAUCUACUGGUACCGUCAGCUCCCGGGCCGAGGACCUGCAUUCCUCGUCAGCGCUGUCAAAGGCUCCAAGCAGGUUCUGGAUCCGGAGGGGCAGCUGUGGGUGUCGGUAGACCGCCGCUCCAGCGCCCUGUGUCUCGCCCGGCCCCGGCUGGGGGACGCGGCGCUGUAUUACUGCGCCGUGGACCCACAGGAAGCGAAGCCGGGGCUGCGGCCGGGCACGAACCGCUUGGGGCGGGGCGGGGGCACAGUGCCGUCCGGGCCCGCAGGGGGCGCUGCCUGCAUGGCCGCCAAACUCCAUCCUGACCGGGGUGCGCCGCCCUGAGUUCUCGACAGAAACGAGCGCUGCGCCCGCAGCCGUGAUUCGCUGAGGCCAAUGUGAGUCAGACACACCUAUGUCUUAGGUGACAAAAAUGGCAUAAAUGACGAUACAAGCUCUGUUGUACACCACGGAGAACUCUUCACAUUUAUAGUAUGUCUGCUAUCCUCUCUUGCUUCCCCAGUGCCAAUCUGAUGAGAACAGGAGGAGCCCUGUUCCUAAGAGCCAGCAAGGUGACUUACACCCAUGGCCUCCCACACUAUUGUGUCUUUUUCCAUAAGCUGAGCAGAGGUUGUGUUCUCCCUUUAAAAUACUUCUGGGCUUAGCUUUGGGCAGAAACGUUGCAAGGAACAGGCCGAUAGUACCCUGUUCUGCCAUAGACACAGAGAUCUGCUGCAAGGGACAGUGCCCAAGAGAGCAGCCUCUGCAGAGUGUCACAACCUCCCAUUCUUCUGGCAGUGGUGAAGGGUCUCUACAUACACUCACCUCCUACCUACCAAGAGCAAAGCAAUGAUCCCUGGGCAGUUGAGGAGGCCAUACAUGGUGGAAUGAAGAAUCAAAAGCUCAAAUGAGAUGCAGAAAUCUUUAAUGAAUGUUUACAGAGAAAAAUGAAGUCUUACUGAGCAGAGGCUCCACAGUGCAAGAUUAAUCCAACCCCAACUCUGAGGUCAUGCAAGGCCUGUGCCUGCCUUUCUGGAAGGGAACAGGAUGGUUCUGAGGAGCCUCAUAGCCCAUAAAAGAUAAAGGGAGGGGGAAAAGGAAGAGAAGAAAAGAAAAUGGAGAUAAAGGGUUCGGUAGAGGACAAUCAAAAUAGACAUGAGCCAUGUCUUCAGAAACCAUGGAAUUGCCUCUUACUUUCAGCAUUUCCUUGAGUACCCGAGUAGGGUCAGGAAUUCUGAAAGCAGGGGCUUGAAGAUUCCUUCUUGAUCCAGCAUCGUGUUCGUGGCUCAUGGACGAAUCUCUCAGGGACCAGUGGCUUC